UUAAGCGACUAAGCGUACACGGUGGAUGCCCUGGCAGUCAGAGGCGAUGAAGGGCGUGCUAAUCUGCGAUAAGCGCCGGUAAGGUGAUAUGAACCGUUAUAACCGGCGAUACCCGAAUGGGGAAACCCAGUGUGACUCGUCACACUAUCAUUAACUGAAUCCAUAGGUUAAUGAGGCGAACCGGGGGAACUGAAACAUCUAAGUACCCCGAGGAAAAGAAAUCAACCGAGAUUCCCCCAGUAGCGGCGAGCGAACGGGGAGGAGCCCAGAGCCUGAAUCAGCAUGUGUGUUAGUGGAAGCGUCUGGAAAGGCGCGCGAUACAGGGUGACAGCCCCGUACACAAAAGCGCAUGUGCUGUGAGCUCGAUGAGUAGGGCGGGACACGUGGUAUCCUGUCUGAAUAUGGGGGGACCAUCCUCCAAGGCUAAAUACUCCUGACUGACCGAUAGUGAACCAGUACCGUGAGGGAAAGGCGAAAAGAACCCCGGCGAGGGGAGUGAAAAAAGAACCUGAAACCGUGUACGUACAAGCAGUGGGAGCCCCACCACCAAAGCAUUCUCUGGUGUUGAAGGCCCUGCAAAGCAGCAUCGCGGUGGCGGAGCGUCGUUUGCGACGCCCAACACACAAAACAAGCGGUGAAUGCUUUGGGGUGGGGUGACUGCGUACCUUUUGUAUAAUGGGUCAGCGACUUAUAUUCUGUAGCAAGGUUAACCGAAUAGGGGAGCCGGAGGGAAACCGAGUCUUAAUUGGGCGUUAAGUUGCAGGGUAUAGACCCGAAACCCGGUGAUCUAGCCAUGGGCAGGUUGAAGGUUGGGUAACACUAACUGGAGGACCGAACCGACUAAUGUUGAAAAAUUAGCGGAUGACCUGUGGCUGGGGGUGAAAGGCCAAUCAAACCGGGAGAUAGCUGGUUCUCCCCGAAAGCUAUUUAGGUAGCGCCUCGUGAAUUCAUCUCCGGGGGUAGAGCACUGUUUCGGCUAGGGGGCCAUCCCGGCUUACCAACCCGAUGCAAAACUGCGAAUACCGGAGAAUGUUAUCACGGGAGACACACGGCGGGUGCUAACGUCCGUCGUGAAGAGGGAAACAACCCAGACCGCCAGCUAAGGUCCCAAAGUCAUGGUUAAGUGGGAAACGAUGUGGGAAGGCCCAGACAGCCAGGAUGUUGGCUUAGAAGCAGCCAUCAUUUAAAGAAAGCGUAAUAGCUCACUGGUCGAGUCGGCCUGCGCGGAAGAUGUAACGGGGCUAAACCAUGCACCGAAGCUGCGGCAGCGACGCUGAUGCGUUGUUGGGUAGGGGAGCGUUCUGUAAGCCUGCGAAGGUGACCUGUGAGGGUUGCUGGAGGUAUCAGAAGUGCGAAUGCUGACAUAAGUAACGAUAAAGCGGGUGAAAAGCCCGCUCGCCGGAAGACCAAGGGUUCCUGUCCAACGUUAAUCGGGGCAGGGUGAGUCGACCCCUAAGGCGAGGCCGAAAGGCGUAGUCGAUGGGAAACGGGUUAAUAUUCCCGUACUUGGUGUUACUGCGAAGGGGGGACGGAGAAGGCUAUGUUGGCCGGGCGACGGUUGUCCCGGUUUAAGCGUGUAGGUGUGUGUUCCAGGUAAAUCCGGUUCACUUUAACACUGAGGCGUGAUGACGAGGCACUACGGUGCUGAAGCAACAAAUGCCCUGCUUCCAGGAAAAGCCUCUAAGCAUCAGGUAACAUCAAAUCGUACCCCAAACCGACACAGGUGGUCAGGUAGAGAAUACCAAGGCGCUUGAGAGAACUCGGGUGAAGGAACUAGGCAAAAUGGUGCCGUAACUUCGGGAGAAGGCACGCUGACACGUAGGUGAAGUGAUUUACUCACGGAGCUGAAGUCAGUCGAAGAUACCAGCUGGCUGCAACUGUUUAUUAAAAACACAGCACUGUGCAAACACGAAAGUGGACGUAUACGGUGUGACGCCUGCCCGGUGCCGGAAGGUUAAUUGAUGGGGUCAGCGCAAGCGAAGCUCCUGAUCGAAGCCCCGGUAAACGGCGGCCGUAACUAUAACGGUCCUAAGGUAGCGAAAUUCCUUGUCGGGUAAGUUCCGACCUGCACGAAUGGCGUAAUGAUGGCCAGGCUGUCUCCACCCGAGACUCAGUGAAAUUGAACUCGCUGUGAAGAUGCAGUGUACCCGCGGCAAGACGGAAAGACCCCGUGAACCUUUACUAUAGCUUGACACUGAACAUUGAGCCUUGAUGUGUAGGAUAGGUGGGAGGCUUUGAAGUGUGGACGCCAGUCUGCAUGGAGCCGACCUUGAAAUACCACCCUUUAAUGUUUGAUGUUCUAACGUGGACCCGUAAUCCGGGUUGCGGACAGUGUCUGGUGGGUAGUUUGACUGGGGCGGUCUCCUCCUAAAGAGUAACGGAGGAGCACGAAGGUUGGCUAAUCCUGGUCGGACAUCAGGAGGUUAGUGCAAUGGCAUAAGCCAGCUUGACUGCGAGCGUGACGGCGCGAGCAGGUGCGAAAGCAGGUCAUAGUGAUCCGGUGGUUCUGAAUGGAAGGGCCAUCGCUCAACGGAUAAAAGGUACUCCGGGGAUAACAGGCUGAUACCGCCCAAGAGUUCAUAUCGACGGCGGUGUUUGGCACCUCGAUGUCGGCUCAUCACAUCCUGGGGCUGAAGUAGGUCCCAAGGGUAUGGCUGUUCGCCAUUUAAAGUGGUACGCGAGCUGGGUUUAGAACGUCGUGAGACAGUUCGGUCCCUAUCUGCCGUGGGCGCUGGAGAACUGAGGGGGGCUGCUCCUAGUACGAGAGGACCGGAGUGGACGCAUCACUGGUGUUCGGGUUGUCAUGCCAAUGGCACUGCCCGGUAGCUAAAUGCGGAAGAGAUAAGUGCUGAAAGCAUCUAAGCACGAAACUUGCCCCGAGAUGAGUUCUCCCUGAGACUUUAGGUCUCCUGAAGGAACGUUGAAGACGACGACGUUGAUAGGCCGGGUGUGUAAGCGCAGCGAUGCGUUGAGCUAACCGGUACUAAUGAACCGUGAGGCUUAACCUU
rnacentral:rRNA from 1 species